GCAAUGUUCGAGGAUGCAUACGUAAAAUUGCGAAAGUAUCCUAUCACCCAUUUUCACGGUGCUUCCCUAGUUUGUGCCCCAGAACUGCUGUGAGUCCCUGAAGCACCUACACCUGGUGAAUCACUCCUGAUCGCUGGAUGGAACACUGUUUACACAGAGCAAUGGGCACUUAAACAGGCUCUAAGCGCUUUUAUGUUGUUCCAAAUAAAUGAAGGAAAACAAAAGAUUAACGACCCAGAAACUGAUUCAUUGAAGUGUUUACCCAUAACGACACCAUUCAGUUUGUUUUCCCAUCCCGAGCCAUCCAAACACUUUUCGGUGCCAAAUGCUGCAGGCGGCGAGAAGCAGAUCCCGCCCGUUCACAUACCAAGUGACUGUUUAUCAACGGAUCUUCAAGUGUUUUUUCGACUGGUAGCGCUCUAUUAGUAGCGCUCAGGCAGCUGAUAAGGCGGUCCAUUGGGCAAGGCCAGAUACAGGCCAGAUCGAACCCCGAACAUCGCAUCUCACCCACUCAGGGCUCGGGCCGGGGCCAAUCUAACGCCCCUAAUCGACCAAAUGUCUAUUGCGACUUUAAUUGCCGGGCAUUACGAGUCGGCAGGUCCAUUAAAACGUUAAUUAAGUUGCCCCAUGGAACUCGGACACAUGUGCGUAUCCCAAAUCUCUCUCAGCCUAGAGCUACACCACAACAUUUUCAUCUGAACAGCUCGCGAAAAAACAAACCAUCCAUCUAGAGCUAGUUGGACCCAACUCAGCGUUUGCCGAUUUGAAUGGCUGUCCAUAAAGCGCGAUGAGCUAAAAGGAAGAAGAACGCCAAAUCGUUUUAUGCAUGCGGUAAAAAUGAGAAAUUUUUUACCCGAAAUUUGAACAAUAAACAAAA